UACACAGCCCCCCACACGGGCUCUUCUCCUCAUGGACUCAAGUGCACAGUACUUGAAUUUGAAGAACAGAGGGCCAUUAGUUUUGUCAACAGUUUCCACUAAUUUCUAGGCGUCUUCCCAAAUGAGAAGUAGGCACGAACCGAAAAAGGAGAAAAUGAAAUUCCUGCUGUUCUGUUCCAUCAUACUAAGUGGGUUGUGGUAUGAGGCCUUCACCUACAUGUCAGUGACAGAGGGACAGAGGGCCAUUCUGGACUGCCUGCUUCAAGCAGACAGCAGCACCGGGACCGUGAGCUGGUACAGGCAGGUUCCCGGGGAGGGGCCCCAGCUGGUUCUGAGUUACUCCACCCACAACACCUCCCAGGUGUCAUACGGCCAUCGAUUCAACUCCAGCAGGUUCACUGUCCUCACCAAGGCCAAUGAGACGUACCAGCACCAGUUACUAAUCACAGCAACCGAAGAACACGAUACCGCUGUGUAUUACUGCGGACUGACUAAGCUUACAUCAUAGAACCCAGCAGCUCAAUAAAUGCAUUAAAAUAAUCAGUUGACAUUUGUUUGGAUUUCAUGAGCAAAGUACAUGCAUUAAUGACAAUGUUUGUGUUUAUUCUUUUGUGACCACAUUAAAUGCAUAUAUGUCACCUGUACAUUCAUUGUUUGACUGCACAAUUCAAAAUGUUAAUAACAGAUGCUGGAUUCAAUCAAUUCUGUCUUUUGUUGGGAAAGCAGAUAAACUAUAUUGCAAAUGAGAAUAAAAUUUCUGUAUUUUAUUUACUUUUAUGUGUUUUUAUGGUUGAGAUAUUAUGGUUGUUCAUGGUAAAUUUUCUGAUUUUAUCACCUUGUUUUGAUUGGAUUGUAAGCAGGUGGCUGUUUUCACACGUGUUUGUAUUCACCCUUGUGGGUAUUGUGUACUUUCCUCUCCUUGUUGUGUUUUGGAAUAUUUUGAUAAUUGAUUUUUUAAUCCUGUAAGCAGAUCUGAAAUCGUACUAUAACUAUACAGAUGAUAUAGAUAGAUAUAGAAGUUGAUAAUGAGGAUAAUGAGGAUGAUGAUGAUGAUAAUGACGAUGACAACUCCAAGUGAAAAUAGCACCAUCCAACAUUUCGACAUCCAUAAUUUUUGUACAUCUGCCUGGAUAUAUUUCUCUGUAUUCAGUUAAUAUGAAAUCAAAUAAAUUCAUUCUUUGAUGUGAGACUA